AGACAAUUAUAUUGAGGGUUUUCGACUUAUUUACUGACUCAACCUAUGUUUGGGUCAAAUAUCCAAUAGUAUUGGGCUUAAUUUCGGAUCUUUCUCUUAUUUCUCAAACAAACCCUAAUUCCCAAAAACGACAAUCCUCCCUCCCACUCUCGACAGUCGGUCGUUUUCUUUUCCUCUCUACCGGUGACUGAGAUUUUCCGAUUUCAUACUCCACUCCUUCAUCUUCUUCUUCCAAAAUUUCGUUUUCUUCUUCUGGAUCCUCUUCUUCUUCUCCUGUAUAUCUUGUUUCAGUCGAUACCAUCUUCUUCCUCUUUCCUCUUCACUCGUUUCUCCGUGAAUCUGAGAUAGCCACCGUGAAUCCGAGAAAUCCACCGUGAAACCGCGGUUGGUUUACAAAGGCUAUUACCAUAGGAAGAGCUUCUAGUUCUAGAAGUGAACCAUCUUGUUCUAGAAGUGAAUAAUCUGCCGAGCUUAGAAAUCCCAAAAGACAAAGGCAAUCGUAUCCAAAGCAUUCAGAGACAGCAGCUGCAGAGGAUGAUGUCAUGGAAGAUCAAUGAGUCGAACCGUCUUUGGAGAAUGUUUAGGUACAACUGGUACGAUUAGGUAUAACUAUGUUUCUGGGUUUAUGUUUUUUGAUUAUGUAUGAAUCUUAUUAUGGUCUCUGAUGUUGAUGUAUAAAUCUAAGUCUUACUUUAUGAAAAAAGAAGAAGGAGAAAGAGCCUUAUUUUGGUCUCUCAUAUUGAUGUAUAAAUCUAAGUGUUUAGGUACAACUGGUACGAUUAGGUACAA